UCCGCCCAUAGCUCAGGGGAUAGAGCGACGGAUUCCUAAUCCGCAGGUCGGAGGUUCGAUUCCUCCUGGGCGGGU
rnacentral:tRNA from 1 species